rnacentral:rRNA from 1 species
UACGAAGGGGGCUAGCGUUGUUCGGAAUUACUGGGCGUAAAGCGCACGUAGGCGGCUAUUUAAGUCGGGGGUGAAAUCCCGGGGCUCAACCCCGGAACUGCCUUCGAUACUGGGUAUCUUGAGUUCGGAAGAGGUGAGUGGAAUUGCGAGUGUAGAGGUGAAAUUCGUAGAUAUUCGGAGGAACACCAGUGGCGAAGGCGGCUCACUGGGCCGAUACUGACGCUGAGGUGCGAAAGCGUGGGGAGCAAACAGG